rnacentral:rRNA from 1 species
CCUACGGGUGACUGCAGUGAGGAAUAUUGGUCAAUGGCCGGAAGGCUGAACCAGCCAUGCCGCGUGAAGGUCAGUGCCCUAUGGGCGUUAAACUUCUUUUGUGCGGGAGCAAUAAUGGUCACGUGUGGCCAGACGAGAGUACCGUACGAAUAAGCAUCGGCUAACUCCGUGCCAGCAGCCGCGGUAAUACGGGGGAUGCAAGCGUUAUCCGGAUUUAUUGGGUUUAAAGGGUGCGUAGGCUGUGAGGUAAGUCAGAUGUGAAAUCCCGCGGCUCAACCGCGGAACUGCAUUUGAAACUGUUUUUCUUGAGUACCGGAGAGGUCAUCGGAAUUCCUUGUGUAGCGGUGAAAUGCGUAGAUAUAAGGAAGAACACCAGUGGCGAAGGCGGAUGACUGGACGGCAACUGACGUUGAGGCUCGAAAGCGUGGGGAGCAAACAGGAUUAGAUACCCCAGUAGUC